rnacentral:sRNA from 1 species
UUCGAUUUAAUUUAUACCUCACAUCGCCGAUGACGGCAUCAUGUCCCGACAACAGUGUGUUUGUUGCUGGAUUAUUUUUUUUGCAUUCUCCUUGUAAGAACCUUGGUACAGAGACCAUGUGGUAUUCCGUGUUGUAAAUUUGUCGAGGUUUUGUAAGGGGGUAACCGAGUCAGUGCUGUAAGAACUAAUCUGGCAGCCGAUAGGCUGUUGGUGUGACAUUGUUGUUGAUGUAUGGCGGCGUUCGCAGAUCCUAUGGUAUUGUAUUUAAGCAUCAACUUGUUAUUGUUG